CAACGACCGAGACUGUCCCAGCCAGGGCUCAAAUCGGCAACCUUCCGAUUACAAGCUGCAGCAUAAAGCUCAGACCAUUUCUGAGAAAUCACAGUGCUUCCUGACCUUCCCAAAGGAACAAUAGCUGGGUGGAGUGUGUUCCUGUCAGGGACUUCAUUCUGCUGUUAGACUGAAGGAUGGACGGUAGAUCAGGUAGUACAAUGGAGGUGGCAGCGCUCGGUCGGCCUUUCAGUGUCGGGAUGCUGUACGACUGUCGCAGUGACUCGCUAAUCCCUGGUAAGAAUUCACAUAAAAAUUCAAAAGAAUUCACAUGUAAAGAUUCUUGAUGUGUCACAAACUUUCAUUAUUUCAUUAUUUAAAGCCAAAAAUCUGAGAUGGUCCAAGGUCUGAAAACACAAGAGUCAACUAAAUUCAGACAGAUAUUCAAGCAGCUUAGUUCAGAGAGUUUGAACUCAUUACUCUGCUGCAGCAUCAAUCCUUCCUCAUGAAACUCCAAACACAGGAUCAGAUCCACUAAUCUGUCUUUACUGGACCUGGGCCCAACUGUCAUUGUUUAGACAGGAUGAACUUUACAUCUAAGCUUAGUUUUAGCCACAGACAGUAUAAGAGAAUCAAAUCUAGAAUUUUCACUCACCAACAAUGAAGCAACUUCUUGGACUGUUUGAACAUCACAAGCAAAUACAUCAGGGGUGGGCAAAUCCAGUCCUCCAGGGCCGGUGUCCUGCAGGUUUUAGUUGAGUCCUUGAUCCAACACAGCUGAUUCAAAUGGGUAAAUUAUAGGGCUGUGUUUUGAUAAUCGAUUCAUCGAUUAAAAUCGAUUCUAGCUUGGA